rnacentral:misc_RNA from 1 species
AACGCACGAGACCUGCGGACCUGCGGAAGGAUCAUUACCGAGUUAUCCAACUCCCAACCCCUGUGAAUUAUACCUUUAAUUGUUGCUUCGGCGGGACUUCGCGCCCGCCGGGGACCCAAACCUUCUGAAUUUUUUAAUAAGUAUCUUCUGAGUGGUUAAAAAAAUGAAUCAAAACUUUCAACAACGGAUCUCU